rnacentral:rRNA from 2 species
CAGUCGAACGAGUUCUGAUUAUUGAAAGGUGCUUGCAUCUUGAUUUAAUUUUGAACGAGUGGCGGACGGGUGAGUAACACGUGGGUAACCUGCCCUUAAGUGGGGGAUAACAUUUGGAAACAGAUGCUAAUACCGCAUAAAUCCAAGAACCGCAUGGUUCUUGGCUGAAAGAUGGCGUAAGCUAUCGCUUUUGGAUGGACCCGCGGCGUAUUAGCUAGUUGGUGAGGUAACGGCUCACCAAGGCAAUGAUACGUAGCCGAACUGAGAGGUUGAUCGGCCACAUUGGGACUGAGACACGGCCCAAACUCCUACGGGAGGCAGCAGUAGGGAAUCUUCCACAAUGGACGCAAGUCUGAUGGAGCAACGCCGCGUGAGUGAAGAAGGCUUUCGGGUCGUAAAACUCUGUUGUUGGAGAAGAAUGGUCGGCAGAGUAACUGUUGUCGGCGUGACGGUAUCCAACCAGAAAGCCACGGCUAACUACGUGCCAGCAGCCGCGGUAAUACGUAGGUGGCAAGCGUUAUCCGGAUUUAUUGGGCGUAAAGCGAGCGCAGGCGGUUUUUUAAGUCUGAUGUGAAAGCCCUCGGCUUAACCGAGGAAGUGCAUCGGAAACUGGGAAACUUGAGUGCAGAAGAGGACAGUGGAACUCCAUGUGUAGCGGUGAAAUGCGUAGAUAUAUGGAAGAACACCAGUGGCGAAGGCGGCUGUCUGGUCUGUAACUGACGCUGAGGCUCGAAAGCAUGGGUAGCGAACAGGAUUAGAUACCCUGGUAGUCCAUGCCGUAAACGAUGAAUGCUAGGUGUUGGAGG